GGCAUAGACACGCACAGUGGGAAGACAGAUGUCUGCAAGGCAAGGAGAGAAAUCUCAGAAGGAAACGACCCUGCCGAUAUGUGAUCCUGCACUUUCAGCCUCCACCCAGAACUGUGAGAAAUAAUCUCUGUUGUUUACCGCCUGCCGAGUGGCUUCGGUUGUGUCCACCUCUUUGCGACACUAGGGACUGUAGCCUGCCAGUCUCUAUCCAUGGGAUUCUCCAGGCAAGAAUACUGGAGUGGGUAGCCGUUGUUUCUCCAAGGGAUCUUCGCGACCCAGGGAUCGAACCUGAGUCUCUUGUGUCUCCUGUAUUGGCAGAACUCCUGCCUCUGAGAUUGGAUUCGGCAUCUGUGCACAGAGGCCGAUCUCUCAGCAUCACCCUGAUGACAGCUUCUGCACAAUCCCUCGGGCUGUCACUUUCCAUCAAGAAGCCUCUCCAAGCAGGAAAGGCUGCUUAGUGUGCAGAUGGUCUCUGGGCAUGGCCAGUCACCCCAGGAGACCUGUAUGGUGCCCCAACCCCUCACACCCGCUGUGAAUGGAGCAAGAAACUGUCCCAGGAGCAGAGGGCUCCCUUGUCUACAAGACAGGUAGCAUGGAGAGCUCCUAAUGGCAGAAAAAGUCUGGUUGUACAUCUUGCCCCCCUGAGUCAACGGCCAGUGCACAUUCACACCUGCUACACCAAUGUUGAUGUUUCUGGAACAAAGUGCAGUAGCCUCUAAUCUCACCAAACAGUGGCCCCUGGCUGCCCAGGAUGGUUCUCUCUCACCCCGAAGUCACAUCAUGACCAGAAGAGUCCUUGUUCCUACCCUCAGCCCCUGUUCAGAGUUUGGUCAGGGCUUUUCUGAUGAUGACCAUCCCCUCCUGGGUAAUGGAAGGUGGGGCAGGACCUAUGUUUUGCUGGCUUCAGGAGAGCCCUCCACAGCGACCAUGUCCCAUGGUCUCUGCAGUAGGCUCAAGUCCACACCAAAUCAUCAACAUGAAGCCCCCAUUCCUGAAGGCACACCAAGCAGAAGCUCUAUCCCAGUGACACCGGAGAAAUACGACAGCAUCCUGUCCCUGCCUGCGGUGGCGUGUAAGUCCUUCCCGGGUUGGAGAACAUUCGUCACAUUUUAGCCAGCAAUUCCAUGACUGUGCUGUUUGCCUCUAUGCUUGUCAAGGUCUUAGUCCUUCCCCUUGUUAAUUUUGGAGGAACCAGCUCUUCUGUGUGUGACUCUCACAUCCCUCCAAACCUCAGCCCCAGUGAUGGGUCUCAACUUCCCUGAAGGGUCUCUUGGUUCUGCCCCAGAAGGAAAGUGAGUCUGAAGGUUGAAAUUCCUGUGCCAUUCUGGGACAGGUAUGGUUUCUAGGAAGUAUUCAGGCAGUGUUUGAAAUAGGUGUCAUAAUAAAAAUUGAAGGAUAAGAUUUGAGUAAAAUGAAACCAGAAUUACUCAUAGCUCAUCUAGCCAGAGAAGGUUCUAAAGUUAUUAUUUUUCAACAGCAUGUUGAUGAAAAGGGAAAUGAGCCAACUCAGGGUUAUAAUUGGAUCUCAAGCAGCAUACCUGAGCUUCGUAGCCAGGAUCAGGAGACCUUGAGAACCGAGGUACCUGCUGCUAUCUGAUGUCAGACACCCGGUAGCAGGCGAUUUAGCACAAAGCAGCUUUGAGUCACUGAAAUGGAGCUGUGGUCCUUACCCUGCAACCAGGUCCUCUGCCUACUUUCUGCCAGUGGAAAACUUUAGUCAAAGAGUAAGUUUAAUCAGAGAAGUGAGAAAUGCUCAAAAAGAAGAAAACAGUCUAGAGAGACUAAAUGAUAAUAAUAUAGUCACUAAGCAUAGUCAAGGGCCUUUAGUUCUUUCUUAAGGGCUGUAGAUAAUAUUCUGAGCCAUAUUCUGUGAGCUGUCUCAUAGAUACCAAAGUCCCAGAUAAAGAAGUUAACUACAUGAUGAUCAGACUGUACCCAGGGCUUGAGCUGUCACAAUUCCGAGGAUUGACUGCAAAGAAACGGGAACAAGUGCACUCCGGAACUAAAGAUUCAGUUCAGUUGCUCAGUCGUGUCUGGCUCUUUGUGACCCCAUGGACUGCAGUACGCCAGACUUCCCUGUCCAUCACUAACUCCUGGAGAUUACUCAAACUCAUGUCCAUUAACUCAGUGAUGCCAUCCAACCAUCUCAUCCUCUGUCAUCCCCUUCUCCUCCUGCCUUCAGUCAUUUCCAGCAUCAGAGGCUUUUCCAAUGAGUCAGUUCUUCACAUCAGGUGGCCAAAGUAUUGGAGUUUUGCUUCAGCAUCAGAACUUCCAAUGAACAUCCAGGACUGAUCUCCUUUAGGAUGGACUGGUUGGGUCUCCAUGCUGUACAAGGGACUCUCAAGAGUCUUCUCCAACACCACAGUUCAAAAGCAACAAUUCUUUGGCUCUCAGCUUUCUUUAUGGUCCAACUCUCCCACCCAUACAUGACUACUGGAUAAACCAUAGCUUUGA